CUCACUCACACACAGAGAGAUGAUGGCUCAGUUGUCAGUUAUCGUGCAGAUGGCUGUGGCUCCCAGAUACACCUCAUCUUUGUCAUGUUACAUAAAGUAUACAAAAGGAAUAUCAAUGAGCCUAAUCAUUGGAUUUUCCAUUUGUACCAGUAUCCUUAAACUGAGUCUGCUUCUUAGAGUCAAUGUGCAAGCAAUCAGCAUACAAUCAAGAGCUUCAUUUUACAACUUCUGAG